rnacentral:rRNA from 1 species
GUUUCACUAAGGGCCCAUAAAUUCAAGGUAUGUUAGCUAUCGUCGCUCUAUGGACCCCUUAUACUCGAUUUCGCUUUAAUUAGCGUUAUUUGUUUAAUAAGCGCGCGUCUUUAUUUAAUGAGUUUAAGACACUGCGCAUGCUGUGGGCUCUGAAAGCAACGAACGUGACCGCAACGUCUUGUUGCCUUAAUAAAGUUGGCUUUUAAUACAAUUCCCCGAAUUCGUAUUUAAACCGCUUACAGAGGCUAUUUAAAACUAGACGGACCGCUGUUUCUUUUCUUAAACCAGAGGAAGGUUGCGGCAAUAACAGGUCUGUGAUGCCCUUAGAUGUUCCGGGCUGCACACGUGCUACAAUGAUCAGUACAGUGAGCAUCUCAAUAUAAUACACCGUCUUUAGCGCUUAGACGCGAUUAAUGGAUCGCUUUUUAUUAAGCGAGUCGUUUAAUCGAUGUUUCUAAUGUGCGCGGUAAAGCCUGCUUCGAGAGUAAGCGGGUAAUCCAUUGGAAGUAAUGAUUUCUCUAUAUCUAGUGCACAACUAUGCACGGCACUCAUUCCCGAGACGGCUAGUUUCGUCUUCUAGUGUGAAUGUAGUGUUAUUCAAACGUGCGUGCAAUUGUCAAUUCAUGGUGGGGACAGACCAUUGUUAACUGUUGGUCUCGGUCUUAACUAGGAAUGCCUUGUACGGGUCUUUGGUUCAACAAACCACCCGGAAUACGUCCCUGCCCUUUGUACACACCGCCCGUCGCUCUUACCGAUGGACUUUUUUGUGAGUCUAAGGGACUGGGUUAAACCACUCGUUUAUUUAAUAAGCGGAUGGCAGUACCUAUGGAAACUUAUGCGAACAAAGUGGUCUAAAGGAAAGAGAAGUCGUAACAAGGC